AUAUUGAUCUCAACAUUCAUAUCUAAUUAAUACAAAAACCAUCUUUGUUAAGACAUACGGCCCUCCAAAAGCUCCUAAGUUACGGGCAAAAUAAGUAUUUNUAUAUCAUGUUUUGAUUUCUUUUUUUUUCUCUCGGGAAAAUUCGUAGACUUGUUUUUUUUAUUAUCCUAAAUUUCAGAAAAAUUUUAGUCUCUUUGAUCUGGCAAGAUACUUGAUUAUUUUUGUUGAGCGAAAUUCGAUUACGCGGUAUUUACAAGCAUGAUUAGGAUGAUGUUGCAAAUAGAUUGUGGAUGAUCUGGACUAAUCGUAAUAGUUUAAUCAUGCAUUCGCUGGAUGUCGUAUGGUACAAUCGCCUAUCUGAUCAACUUUUCUUACUUUAUUAAUUUUCUUUCCGAACGUUCAUUUCUUUAAAAAAAAAAAAAAAAAUUAUUUUUGCUCGUUUAAUUUUAUCUUAGCAAAAUUUUUGUCUACCACAUCUAAGAAAUUUUACAUGUAGGAUAGACUUGACCC
rnacentral:lncRNA from 1 species